UAUUUUGAAAAAAAAAACUUCGCAGGCAUGUUUUAUAUAAGUAUGGCCCUAAAAUAUAAAUAUAAAUGUAUGUAUUUAUCAAUUAUCAACAUUAUACAUUUGUAUGAUCAAUGUAGUAAAUUAUAAUCUUACUCAUUAACCUAUUCAAUUUAAAGGACUGUACGAAUAAAGUUAUUCUGAUUCUGGAGCUAAACACCAGUUACUUUAUCAAUUACUCGAUUUAAAAGGCUAUAUAAGUAUUCAGUCUAUAAACUUAACAUUAUAGAACUAUCAACCUAGGAUUACAUUACUCUGACUUCAUUCAAUAUUCAAUGUAAAGACUAUGCAUGUUAACAUCAUUACAUUACUUAAAGGGGACCUAUCAUGCAAAAUGCACCUUUGGACGUCUUUUAUACAUGAAUAUGUGUCCCCGGUGUUCCAGGGAACUCACCAAGUGUCAGAAAACACAACCCUCUCUAUUUUCCUCCUUCGCCAAAUCUCUGAAAAAGGGGCUGAAACAGAUCUGAAAAAAACGGAUCCAGAUUUCAACACUUUCCUACGUCACAAAGAGACGUGCUCCGCUUAUUGGUCAACUAUCCACCUAUCAGGGGAAUGAGCCACGGCCACUGCCAAACCUCUCAUUCGCAUAUAGGCUAUCGGCAGGCUAAAUCAACUCCAGUCACAUCUGUGUUUUUGUCUGCUCUUGCCAGGAUGUCUAAGCGAGUUAAACUUUGUGCUGUUGUUGGCUGCAAGACUCGAGAAGGGGGACUGCAUGCAAUGCCAUCAGUGGAAAAAGAAAAUAAUCUGUGGCUAGACUUCAUUUUCAAGGGACAUGUGCCAGAAGACCACGGCAGAUUUCUGUUUGUGUGUUCCAAACAUUUUACCACGGACAUGUUUAUGAACUUCUCUCAAGUCCAACACGGAUAUGCCUCCAAGCUAAUGCUAAACCCGGGAUCAAUACCAACCAUCCGGGAGCAGGCCAGUGAGGACACAUCCAAUUUUGAAGCUGCCAGCACCUCACAUGCUACCAGCAGAUUACCUGUGAUGACAGAUUCUGCAUGUCAGACUGACCCACCCAAGUACCGUACUGUUCGUACACAGCUAUCCUCGAGGACUCUUGGUUCACAUCGAAGUACAGCUGUCCAGGCUAAAAUUCCCUGCAGAAGCGUUGAUGUCGAAACACUUCCGUUGGAAGUGCCAGUGCCCUUUUUAACAUCCACCCCCUUAAAGAGACCACCAAAGAGGCCCCGUGUGGAUCUUGAAGAGGAAUACGAAGAUCCAUUUGAGGGAAGCUCUUCUUUGGUGUUUUCCGAAGGCCAGGAUGCAACUUAUGAUCCAGCAGAAUCCAUAACAAAUGCUACAGAAACAACAGCCAUGUCUGGUCAAGAACAAAACCCCCCCCAGACGAUCAACACAUACAUCGUGUAUGAGACCUGCCUCAUGGAGCUUUUUGAAUCAUGUCCUGUGUGCAAGCGUGUGUGUGAUGUACAAACCAGAAAGAUCGGUACAUUCAUAUCAGUGCAGCAGCUGUGCCCCCAUUGUCAGUUUACAAGAAACUGGAAUAGCCAGCCUGUUCUUGGGAGUACUCCAGUUGGAAACCUGCAGCUAUCAGUUGCAACAUAUGUCAACGGAGCAUCUUUCUACAAACUUUCAAAGGUCUUCAAAGCAAUGAAUAUGCAGCUAUGCAAAUACAACACCUUCCGAAGGCAUGCCAGGAUGUUCAUUGAGCCAGCGAUUGUUUCUUACUGGCAAAAAUCACAGGAAGGCAUGCUACAGAAGCUCCAUGCAGAGGAGAAAGUGAUAGUUGGUGGUGAUAUGAGGGCUGACUCCCCAGGCCACUCUGCAAAGUUCGGAAGCUACACUAUGAUGGACCUGAAGAACAACAAAGUCGUUGACCUCCAGUUGGUUCAGAGCAAUGAGGUUGGUGGAAGCUACCACAUGGAGUUAGAGGGCCUGAAAAGGAGUCUGGAGUUGUUAAAGGAACGUGGUGUGACUCUGGACUGUAUUGUCACGGACAGACAUCUGCAAAUUCAGAAAUUCCUAAGGGAAAGCAGCAUCACCCAAUUCUUUGAUGUGUGGCACAUAGAAAAAGAGAUUUCUAAGCAACUGGAGAAGGCUGCAAAAAAGAAGGACUGCGAAAAACUUCGAGGGUGGGUGAAGAGUAUAAGAAACCACAUAUACUGGACUGCAGCAACCUCCACCACCGGGCCUGAGAGAGUGGCCAAAUGGACUUCCAUCCUGAACCACGUGCAGGAUAUCCACUCUCAUGAUGACCCCCUGUUCCCCAAGUGCCUUCAUCCACUGCGCAUUGCGCAAUACCAAUGGAUGGCUGCAGGUAUGUUGUUCAUAAACCAUAUUACAUUACUCCUCUAUAAAUAUUUGAACGCCGGCCUUUCACAAGCUGGAGACAAUUCUCUCAACCAAGAGGAUUUUGAAAGCUGUGGCCAAACUCAGCCCACACCACCAGACUUAAUCUUUGGAGUCAUUCCAUGCCGUCAUCCUGCGCUUUGCUCCAAAGAAUGUUGUGUUUCCAUUUCUUGGAAUGUUGUGCAGACUGUACCUGGCAGCCCUGCACUACAAUGAAAACGCUGAGCGUGCACAAGCCACUACAUCCACUGGAAAGCCUCUGUAUAAACUGCAGUUCCCAAAGGCCAGGAAGGGAGAAUGCAGAGCAAAACCAGUAAAGACUGACCCCACAUUCUGCUACGUGGCCAACUUGAUGGACCUCAUCUUCGACCAAGUCUUUGUGGACCCUGCACCAUUCACACAGGAGCUUCUGAAGAUACCCAUCCCAGAGGACCUGUGUUCCCAAUAUGAGCGACCUGACAGGGAGGAGGUCAUCUCCGGGUAUGCUACUCGGUUCAAUUUGGCUGCUGUCUGAACCCAACAUAGAUAUUUCGCGGAUCAGGAAACUCUCUGCGAAUCCUGAGGACAACGCAGGCCGGAAUCACCACUCUGAUCCUGCGUCCAAGGAAGCCCCAGCACCAGCUCACAAAGCUUCUGUAGGCUAGAUACCUGUGACGCCUGAAAUCAUUAAAAAAAAUA